GAGGAAACACUCCUUUCCAUUCCGAACAGGAAAGUUAAGCUCUACAGCGCUAAUGGUACUGCACGGGCAGCUGUGUGGGAGAGUAGGACGUCGCCAGGU
rnacentral:rRNA from 1 species